AUUGAACGCUGUCGGCAGGCCUAACACAUGCAAGUUGAACGGUAACAGGAAGAAGCUUGCUUCUUUGCUGACGAGUGUCGGACGCGUGUGUAAUGUCUGGGAAACUUCCUGAUGGAGGGGGAUAACUACUGGAAACGGUAGCUAAUACCGCAUAAUGUCGCAAUACCAAAGAGGGGGACCUUCGGGCCUCUUGCCCUCUGAUGUGCCCAGAUGUGAUUAGCUAGUAGGUGGGGUAACGGCUCACCUAUGCGAAUAUCCCUAGCUGGUCUGAGAGGAUGACCAGCCACAAAGGAACUGAGACACGGUCAAGACUCAUACGGGAGGCAGCAGUGGGGAAUAUUGCACAAGGGGCGAAAGACGGAUGCAGCUAGGCAGCGUGUAUGAAGAAGGACUUCGGGUUGGAAAGUACUUCCAGAGGGGAGGAAGGGAGUAAAGUUAAUACCGUUGCUCAUUGACGUGACCCGCAGAAGAAGCAACGGAUAACUCCGUG
rnacentral:rRNA from 1 species